AGAGUUUGAUCCUGGCUCAGGAUGAACGCUGGCGGCGUGCCUACUACAUGCAAGUCGAACGAGGUGCUUUUGUAGCAAUACGAGAGUAUCCUAGUGGCGAACGGGUGAGUAACGCGUUGGUGACCUACCCCAAAGUGUGGGAUAACAGUCCGAAAGGAUUGCUAAUACCGCAUGUGGUCAUUGGAUUUAGAAACUGAUGACUAAAGGAGCAAUUCGCUUUGGGAGGGACCUGCGUCCCAUCAGCUAGUUGGUGAGGUAACGGCUCACCAAGGCGACGACGGGUAGGGGACCUGAGAGGGUGGCCCCCCACAAUGGAACUGAAACACGGUCCAUACACCUACGGGUGGCAGCAGUAGGGAAUAUUGCACAAUGGGCGAAAGCCUGAUGCAGCAACGCCGCGUGUGUGAUGAAGGCCUUCGGGUCGUAAAGCACUUUUCUGGGAGAUGAGAAAGGACAGUAUCUCAGGAAUAAGUCUCGGCUAACUACGUGCCAGCCGCCGCGGUAAUUC
rnacentral:rRNA from 1 species